rnacentral:rRNA from 1 species
ACGAACGCUGGCGGCGUGGAUAAGACAUGCAAGUCGAACGGGAGAAUUGCUAGCUUGCUAAUAAUUCUCUAGUGGCGCACGGGUGAGUAACACGUGAGUAACCUGCCUCUUAGUGGGGGAUAGCCCUGGGAAACCGGGAUUAAUACCGCAUACGAUUGAAAGAUCAAAGCAGCAAUGCGCUAGGAGAUGGGCUCGCGGCCUAUUAGUUAGUUGGUGAGGUAACGGCUCACCAAGGCGAUGACGGGUAGCCGGUCUGAGAGGAUGUCCGGCCACACUGGAACUGAGACACGGUCCAGACACCUACGGGUGGCAGCAGUCGAGAAUCAUUCACAAUGGGGGCAACCCUGAUGGUGCGACGCCGCGUGGGGGAAUGAAGGUCUUCGGAUUGUAAACCCCUGUCAUGUGGGAGCAAAUUAAAAAGAUAGUACCACAAGAGGAAGAGACGGCUAACUCUGUGCCAGCAGCCGCGGUAAUACAGAGGUCUCAAGCGUUGUUCGGAAUCACUGGGCGUAAAGCGUGCGUAGGCUGUUUCGUAAGUCGUGUGUGAAAGGCAGGGGCUCAACCCCUGGAUUGCACAUGAUACUGCGAGACUAGAGUAAUGGAGGGGGAACCGGAAUUCUCGGUGUAGCAGUGAAAUGCGUAGAUAUCGAGAGGAACACUCGUGGCGAAGGCGGGUUCCUGGACAUUAACUGACGCUGAGGCACGAAGGCCAGGGGAGCGAAAGGGAUUAGAUACCCCUGUAGUCCUGGCAGUAAACGGUGCACGCUUGGUGUGCGGGGAAUCGACCCCCUGCGUGCCGGAGCUAACGCGUUAAGCGUGCCGCCUGGGGAGUACGGUCGCAAGAUUAAAACUCAAAGAAAUUGACGGGGACCCGCACAAGCGGUGGAGUAUGUGGCUUAAUUCGAUGCAACGCGAAGAACCUUACCUGGGCUUGACAUGUAAUGAACAACAUGUGAAAGCAUGCGACUCUUCGGAGGCGUUACACAGGUGCUGCAUGGCCGUCGUCAGCUCGUGUCGUGAGAUGUUUGGUUAAGUCCAGCAACGAGCGCAACCCCUGUUGCCAGUUACCAGCACGUCAAGGUGGGGACUCUGGCGAGACUGCCCAGAUCAACUGGGAGGAAGGUGGGGACGACGUCAGGUCAGUAUGGCCCUUAUGCCCAGGGCUGCACACGUACUACAAUGCCCAGUACAGAGGGGGCCGAAGCCGCGAGGCGGAGGAAAUCCUGAAAACUGGGCCCAGUUCGGACUGUAGGCUGCAACCCGCCUACACGAAGCCGGAAUCGCUAGUAAUGGCGCAUCAGCUACGGCGCCGUGAAUACGUUCCCGGGUCUUGUACACACCGCCCGUCACAUCAUGGAAGCCGGUCGCACCCGAAGUAUCUGAAGCCAACCGCAAGGAGGCAGGGUCCUAAGGUGAGACUAGUAACUGGGAUG